rnacentral:rRNA from 1 species
ACGGGGUGCAGCAGGCGCGAAACCUCCACAAUUCACGAAAGUGAGAUGGGGUUACCUCGAGUGCCGCCUGAAGAAGGCGGCUUUUCCAUUGUGUAAUGAGCCGUGGGAAUAAGAGGGGGGCAAGACUGGUGUCAGCCGCCGCGGUAACACCAGCCCCUCGAGUGGUGGGGAUGAUUAUUUGGCCUAAAGCGUCCGUAGCCGGCUCUGUAAAUCUCUCGUUAAAUCCAGCGUCCUAAGCGUUGGGCUGCGAGAGACACUGCAGAGCUAGAGGGUGGGAGAGGUCAGCGGUAUUCCUGGGGUAGGGGCGAAAUCCAUUGAUCCCAGGAGGACCACCAGUGGCGAAGGCUGCUGACUAGAACACGCCUGACGGUCAGGGACGAAAGCUGGGGUAGCGAAUCGGAUUAGAUACCCGAGUAGUCCCAGCCGUAAACGAUGCAGGCUAGGUGUUGGGUUGGCCACGUGCUAGCUCAGUGCCACAGGGAAGCCAUUAAGCCUGCCGCCUGGGAGUACGCCGCAAGGC